CGCUCACCGACUCUAUACACAAUGUGAUUGGCCUGACCAGAAUUUGUUUUUUCCAGUACAUAAUCCAACGAAGAAUUGCUAGACAGACCCUGGCUGCAAAUUAAAUUUCCUGCCGCUAGGGUGGGUCUAGAUUUCUAGGCUAGUGGAAUCUGAUUGCUAC